GUCAAGCUUGUAGGUCCCUUAUCAGCUGUCUGCCCCAGCGCAUUCAGUCCAGGACAAACACAGUCCAUUUACAAGAAGUCCCUGCAGUGCUCAGAAAUCCCAGAUGCUAUCAGGGAGUCUCCACAGCCGGGGCUGGGGACCAAGGACAGAUGAUCCAAAUCUCAGGCCCAAGAGCAUAAACAACAUGGACUGAAGAGACAGAAACAAGAAGGAUGGGACUUCAUAACCUAAAACUAUAACUGGACAAUUAACUCCAACAUGCAAAUGGAGCAGAACUUAUAAAAGAGAAAGAGGACGUGCUAAAGGGACACAUCCUAACAAAACCCUCUUGAAGGUCUCAUUUUCCUUCCAGACACACAACUCCAGUGGAAAUUCAAGCUAAACAUGAAGAUUCAACUUCUGUUGUUCUUUUGUAUAAUUUGUGUGUUUUGGCUGCUCUGAAAACCUCAUGAACUGCAAUCAAAGGUAUUGCAAAAUCUGCCUCAAUGGAAAGCCUGCAAGAAGGAACACGACUGCCUGCCCCAUGGCUGCAGCGCUGCCUGGCAGGUGGAGACUUGUGCCCUCACCUCCAUCUCCCAGGCUCUGGUGUGGCUCAGGCUCCCGACUGAGGUGUUUCUCCUUCUCUUCUGAGAAGUGUAACAGCUACCACAGGAGCUGGGGAAAGAGGCUUCUGUGGAAAGAUGCUGAUGACUCAUUUUUUGGGAGCAUUACCUAGCUAGCCUGCCUUUCACAGCCCUGAGCAUCUCUGGAAUUGGAAGCAUCCUCUGGCCAUGCUUCCCGAAGGUCCCUCUGAGGCUGCUCUGGCUAGACUUGGAGGUGGGGCAUGGCUGAACCUGCCUCUCUGGAUUGAAACGAGGGAUGACAGGGCAAGGUACAGGAAACACAGCAAGCUCAGGCAUAGAUGGCAAAGAAUAAAUAAUCAGGGAGGUGUGAAAUCUGUCUCAGUCUGAAAAAAAUCCCAAAGAGUAGCCCUCACAAAUGUGGUGGCAAACCCACAUUUACUCAGGUGUCACUUAACUGUCACCAUUUCACUCCUUCUUACACAAAAUCCUCCUUCUUCCUUUCUUGCUCCUAUAUAUAUCCAGCAUAUCAGCAGCUCUCAGCUGCAAUUCCCUGAAGUCGGUGUGGGCUGCUGGAGACAGGUCUCGGGAUGGAGGGAAUUGAGCGCCACUGAUUCAAUUAGCCUCCUGUGACUCAUGGCUCAGAGAAGUGCCAGGAAUUGAUGGGCUUGGGAAAGUACUUUUUUUUUUUCUAAUCAGGAAGGAGCAAAUCCCAGGAAGUCCAGCAGAGCAUAUGAACAUCAAAGAAUCCAAGAGAGCCAGGCCAGCCAAAUCCCAGUACUGUGGAGGCGAGCCCAAGCUGCCUAGCAGGACACAGUGGAACCAAGAAAACCUCAUGUUAUUUUCAACAUCUGCAUAAUCCAGGAAGACAAUAAAUUAUUUGUCACCUAGUUGCAGAGAGAUUAUUUGAAGGGUAAGGUCUGCAAAGUUGCUGGCAAGCUUACAGCUUUCCAAUUUGCUUUUUCUUUUUUAAGGAUGUGGCUUCAAAUAUUGAAGGAACAUAAGAAAAACAAAAGCAUCUGAAUAAAUACAGCUCUUAUUUUUCUUAUUUUAAUACAACUCUUCUAUUCUGCAAGUCAUAGACAAAGCAUCAAUUAUUUGUCUGUUGUCAGUGUAACAUUUAGUUGAAUUGCCCUAGAUUUUAUUAUUUCCAGGCUGAGGAUAUUCUUUUCUUUGCCUAUCAACAAACACCUCUCUAAUUGCAACAGAAGCUAUGGGUCUUGUAUUCAUGCUGCAGAAGACAAGAUAAUGAAGAAGUCAUUAUCAGAAAUUAUAAUUUUUGUAGCUACAGCUAUUCUCUCAUAAUUAGGUUCACCACUUUCUGUAGUUCCCCCAGAGAAGGAAAAUUAACUGUUGUAGGCCUGGGAAAGAAAGAAGGGAAAAAAAUUACAGCAAGACUGAUUUAUAAAGAUGAGUAGCAUAGAAAAAUAAAUACUGCCAGUGUAUAUUACAGAGCCAGAAGUUUUGAUGUGGUGGUGAUGAUGAAUUCCUUCCUUCCUAAGUGUUUUAGCUGAGGUCAGAGGUAGGACAGAAGAUAUUAAGUCAGCACAAAAAGUGAGCUCUGCCCCACUCUUUGCCUUCAUGGUGUGCAUUAGUCGGUUUAGAAAGCAACAGAUGGAGAGAAGUCAAAAUCUAUGACUAUAGUAAUAGUCAAAACAGUAAAGACACUGUAAUUUCAGAGCAUUCCUUUUCCCCAGGUAUUCCGACAACUUACUUUGAGAUCAUUAAGAGGUAAAGCUGAGGUUAUCUGUGGUAAUGAAUGAAUCUGAGGAAAAAAGUAAAUACAAUAAACCCGACAGACUGGAACAGCAAAGCUGUCUCACUGAAAAAGAGGGCAGCAGCUGUGAAGGUAAAAAGUGUUCAUUUCUCUUUGCUUUAAUUUUUUUUUCCUGUUAAGAAGCAGAAUGUGAUCCUGUUUUUCUGUGUCUUCAUGAAGAUUCUAGAAUAAUUAGGACUGUGAAAAGGAGACCUGUCAAUCUUGAGAUCAUUUCUGUUUCAAAUAACUGCAGUAUGAAAUUCCCGAGCAUAAACAGUGACUGUCACCCAAAGUGGAGGUGAGAGCAAGUCUGUUCAGCUUGGUGCUCUUCAAUAGCACUGGUGUAAAAAGACACCCAGGGUGAGCCAGGCAGAUGCUUCCUCCUCAUCUUCCCCUCUCCAUCAGACCCAGAAACAUCCACUUGCAUUCCUGCUUUUACAACUGCUACUUCCCCAAUAGACAAACUCCUUGUCCCUGCUGACAGACCUCAUUAGUGGGUAUUCCCAUUAAGAUCAGGGCAAACAUAGGUCACAUAUCUGUCAGUCCAAAACCAGCUUUAAAGCUGGUUUUUGUCAGGGCAGUUACAUCUAUUCAAUUAUUCUUAUGUACUUCCCAAAGAUUAGCAGUACAUCUUAGUGUCUGCGGCAGUAUUUUCAGCUGUGGUGAAGACCAGCAAGUUUAUGAAUGGAAAACAUUAGUAAAUCAGGUUGGGCUGACCUCAUUCAGAAGCCAGAACGAGCCCUCACCAUCUCUGCUGCUUGAUUUGUCACACACUCAGGCAUAAGCUCGAGUCCGAGUCCUUGGAUGACUCCAAAGGCAGCGGCUGGCAUUUGACAAAUUUGGAUGUAUCAAACACGACACGAGUAAAUGACACAAUGAGACAGCUACAUCUGCAUGGAUGCAGAACCAUGUGGUGACCGUGCUGAAGGGCACAGGAGGGAUCAGGGCACAGGAGGGAUCAGGGCACGGUGGGUUUUGCGCCGUGUGUGCUUCAGGGCUGCCACAGCCACACAAAAGAAGGGACACAGCUUUGAUGGGCUGCCAGCAGCUGAGCAGGGCAUCUUCCUGCAGGUGUGGGAGCUGGCAUCUCGCAUCAUCCUGGUGCUGUACCAGGUUCUGACUACUGGCCUGCUACUGCUUUUAACCCUACUGUUCAUUCUGUGGGACAAACAGAAGCCAGGAGUAUAAAUCGAGAGAGUGGUGUACGGACGAGACAUGAGUGUUAGCAAA